AGAGGGCGGAGCCAGAGAGCAGUGAUUGGUCAGACCAUAGAUAUAUAUAGAAGCCAGCGCUAGCGUAGCUAGUCUUCCAACUGUAACUGUGGUCGGCACGUCUCAUAGCAUCUAUGGCUGCUGUUGACCGUGUUUUUGGAGUAAGACAUGAUGUUCAGAGGGAGAUGAUGCCACAUCUGGUCCAGCUGAUGGAAGGUCUUGAAGUUCUCUGACUGGCCUCGACUGAAGAUGGUCGUCUCACUGGAUUUAAGGUUCAGAUGCUCAGUAACAAACUCCACCAAUGUGCCAACAGGGAAGCUUUAGGUUUAUUAAAUGUUGCUAUGAAGGUAUCGCUGUUUUUCUUUGUGAAUGCAAUGUGCUCCAACUGAAACUUGAAUUAGAACUUAGAAGUAAAUCCUUCCAUCUGAAAGGGUUUACUUGCAUUAAAACCUCAUAACAUUCUAAUUUUUAUUCCAGUCUUAGUUGGAAAUAGAAUCUCUAUUGAUUCAGGUAAAAACUGAACUUCACAGCAUGUUGGAGCAAAACAACCAGAUGAAAACUGUGAUGGUGUUGGAUUGUCAGACCGUACUGUUGCAGCUCAAAGCAGCUUUUCUAGCUCAGUUCAUUCUGACAUUCAGCUAUGAAUCAACACAGCAGAUGGUGAUCCAUGCUGUGGAAGUCUCACAUCUCCUGAUUUAAUGGAGCUGCUUUACACUUUUUACACUGUUUAUUCACCAACACUUUAUUUAAUAAGAGUCCCGUCUAGUUUUUAUGAGGAAUGUGGUGUUUUAAUUUCUCUGUGAAUAACUGCAGUCUAAUGCAACAGCUGGAGUUGUGACAUCUGUCCUGAUAUUGAUCAUGAAGUAUUGAUCAGAAUACUUAUGGUCAGAAGUCAUCCCUGAAGUUUUACAUUAAAAUCUUUACUUGUGUUGUGAACUUUGGUAAGAAGCAGAAACUUUAGCGUUGCCAUGGAUACAUGAGUGUUAAAUUCUGUCCAUGUUUCAUUUUGGGAAAUGCAGUCCAGCAGAUGAGUUUGUUUUUACUGCCAGCUACCAUUCAGUCUGCGAUAUCAAGAAUAAAUAAAUGUGCAUAAUGUGGAAAUGAACAGAUUCGAUUUUUAUUUAUUCCUACAGCUGCUGCCCGAAAAGUUUCAGGAUGUGGAGGAAUUUAGUCCCACAAUCACAGACAAUAAAUAAUAUCUGAAAGUCAGGUUAUUGUUGUUUAUCAGCACGUUAGACAUAUUCCAGUUAAGACUCUAGAAUAUCGAGAUUUAUGUAAAUUUACCUCAAUAAUAUGAAUGUUCAGGUUAAGAUUGUGCAGUGAUAUUUAUUAUAUAAGUUUAGCUGAUUAAAGUUUAUGACUCUGCACUACAAUAUUAUUUAAAUUUACAUCAUAAUAUUUAGGGUCAGACCCUACAGUAUUGAGAUUGUCGAAUCCUAAGGCCAGUAACCUCCUAAAUCAAUCAAAUUAAUUAAUUAACUAUCAGAGAAUUACUGGACCAGCUCUCCAUCUAACGGGUCCGGUUCCCGUAGCCCAUAUGGUACAACCCAGAUGGGAUCUGAGGAACGUUUUUAAGCUGGUAAGCGAGAAAAUUCGCCUAGCUUCUAACUGCCUUCAUCCAGACGUCUAUCCUGCUUCCUCUGAUAACUAACUCAACUGAGUAGCCACUUUCGAAUGGUCAAAUUAAUUACAAGUAACGUCUGUUAACGGCAGCUUUUCUCUCAUCGGAUUCUGCACUUGGUAAGUUGCUAGGUUUAAAUUUAGAGGUUAAGGAAUGGAUAACCCCAAGGAUAAGUUUAAAAAAGGCCACCCCCGGCCCCAACGAAUAGGUAACCUGACAGAACCAGUUUUAGAUGUAAUGCACACAGUAACCUGACUUUUUACAAACUGAGAAGAUAUGUGAUUAAUUCAUCAUCAUGAUAAAAAUAAAUAGAAUUUCCAAUCUGUUAACUUUAAUUGCAGGAUAAAUGCUUUAUUAUAAAAUUUCAGCAGGAAAAUAGCAAUAGCCCAUAAAUCAUCAGACAACCAAUUAAACAUUAAUUUCUAUAACAAUCCUCUAAUAUGACCCCUAACUGGAACUAUGCUUUUAUCUAAGAAGAGCAAUAAUCACCCAAACUAUGUAAUUUGGAGGGGGAGAGCAGACGGGGUGUACAAACCGGCUGCUCACCUGAAGACCGACGCCCCACUGGGGCUCUGCUCCAGGGAGGAGGUGGAGGGGGUUCGGUCCAGAUUUAGAUCUGCUUGUAUCCAUUUUUGUUCUUUGGGCCAGUAAAAACUUUGUUAAUCCAUUCUGGUGUUAAUCCUUUGGAAAUAGUAGAGUUCAGUUAUAUUCCUUCAGUCAGCGUUAUUUUUAGAUCACAGUCUUUUGUAAUCCUCAAACAGUGCAGAAAGAGCACUCCUUCAGUCCAUAAUUCCAAUAGAACAGAUAUUCCUUUGCAGAUCAUGUUGAAUCCCCCGUCCGAGUUACGUGGUAAAAUCCCCUUUGCUCAGAGCAUUUCUACCCUGGCUUGCAACGAGUGACCACCUCGCAACGACUCCCAACUUGUCUCGAUCCACUGCAAUUUAUACAACAACUGAACCUUUUGCAUAUGCAAUGACUGCACACUUAAUUAACAUACGUGAUGACAGCAUCCAUCUCCCUCCUCACUCGUGCACUGCUCCCAUCCACCGACCUCAUGGCCUCUGCGUGCUCUGGAGGAACCAAAACCUUGGACUGUUUGGCCCUUUCACCCAGUCUCAACUUUCUAUUACUGUAUUUGUUCCAUCCACAGCUAAGAGCAGGCCUCCGGUCGGGGAACAGGAGUAGCUGAUGUCAGCGCCUAAUAAUCACUGACACCACACUGUACAUCUCUGCACAGUGCGCACAGACUUACGCUAAAACCCCCAAAAUAUAUAAAAUAUAUACAGUUCAUUAACUUGUGCGGUGACCCAAGUUUGUCUCGUCUUCUCGCUUCACCUCCAAGUUAACAACCUCCCAAUUUCACAGGGUGAUCAAACUCUUCUGUAAACAUCUCUAUUUCGUAGUAAUCAAAACCUUAAAAGCAUUUCCAUUUUCACAGUAAUAAAAACCUUUAACACAUCAUUUCUCUUGGCAACCCUAGGCCUCACUUCCUACAGUGAGUUGCUGCCCCCAUGUGGUUACUCCCUAUACCAACAUUAUAAAAGACAAGUAUUAAAAUAAUCAACUCCCCACUCCUCUGAUUUUUACACUAUUCAAAAUAAAGAUUACAUAAAAAAGACAUAUUCAAAAAUAAUCAACUCACCACCGUUCCCGGUGAGGUAUGCUUCUGAUUUCUACACUGUUUCAAAUAAAAAUUGUAUAAAAAGACAUUCAAAAAAUAAUCAACUCAUCACCUUUCACAGUGAGAUACUCUUCUGAUUUCUACGCUGUUUCAAAUAAAGAUUAUAUAUAUUUAACAAAUAUAAGCAUUUGGUUAGUUUACACACAUUUAUUACGUUAGAGCAUGAAUUAAUGGUAAAUCACAGGUUAUAAUAUCAUACUGUGUCCCCUCAUUUGUCUGUUAUUCUGCCAGAAGCCCGCACCUAUGGCUGACUCGGGGAUCUCAUACCUCUAUGAUCUUUGACAAGAUUAAGAAAUCAAACCUUCUUUAAAACGUAAAUACACUGAACUAAUUUGGAUAUAUUUAAGUGAGACUCUACAAUAUUAUUUGACACAAAUCUAUCUAAAUCAAAAUUUUAAUCAUUUUUACUCCAAACAUUUACUAGACUGAUUUAAAUAUUAAAAGCACUCCUUUCUAAUCCUCUGCUGUACGUUUAAACCUGAGGCCUCAAAUAGAAACACACAAGUAUCUGUUUGAAGGAACUUCUGCAGAGUCGUGGUUCCAGAACAUGAUGAUGGAAAUAUUGACAAACUAACAAAAGCUGCCUGAGAGUUUACAAGUUUUUGUUAGAUUUCUUCAGUAAUUUAAUGAGUUAUCAGCAAAAAUCAAGUGUUCAUUUGAUGAACUUCAUUUCCUAAAACAUCCAGAAUUGGAGCUCAUAUCUUUGGCAGCUGUAAAGUUUCUGCUCCUUCAAAGUUCACAAAAUGAAUUGAUUCCUGAAACACUUUCAAUGCUGGAGAGCAUUUGUGAUGCUGAAGCAGUGACCAGUUUUUCCGUCUCUUCUCUGGAGAUGCACAAUGAGGGACGUCUGCAGUGACUGAGAAAGAGUCUCACCACAUCCUGACAUGAGGAAAAAGACUUUAUUGAAGACUACAAUGAGAAAAACUAUCAGACAGCAGACGGCAUGCAUUCAAAGUGAGCUCUGAACAUUUGAUCUGGAACAGGAAUUCAAUAACAGCAGCAUGAGCUUCAUUUCAGUCUGUAGCUGCUGAAUUCAUGGAUGAAUCAUCUGGCACUAGAGAAGAAGACCAUCAAACAUCCACGUCAGCAGAUUGAGGUCCAAGAGUCUCACCGAACAACCAACCUACAGAGUGAAGACCUCAAAUCUGAUUGGACGGCCUCCUAUUCAACUACAUUUGUGAACAAAUGCCUCUAAGCUGAUUUGUUUUCUAAAAUAAAUAUAGUGUGAAUCCUAA